CCAAAAAACAGGUUAAUAUUCCUGUACUUCUAGUUAUUGCGAUGGGGGGACGGAGAAGGCUAGGCCAGCUUGGCGUUGGUUGUCCAAGUUUAAGGUUGUAGGCUGACUGCUUAGGUAAAUCCGGGCGGUUAAGGCUGAGAACUGAUGACGAGUGCUCAUUAGAGCGCGAAGUGGUUGAUGCCAUGCUUCCAAGAAAAGCCUCUAAGCUUCAGAUAACUAGGAACCGUACCCCAAACCGACACAGGUGGUUGGGUAGAGAAUACCAAGGCGCUUGAGAGAACUCGGGUGAAGGAACUAGGCAAAAUGGCACCGUAACUUCGGGAGAAGGUGCGCCGGUGAGGGUGAAGCAUUUACUGCGUAAGCCCAUGCCGGUCGAAGAUACCAGGCCGCUGCGACUGUUUAUUAAAAACACAGCACUCUGCAAACACGAAAGUGGACGUAUAGGGUGUGACGCCUGCCCGGUGCCGGAAGGUUAAUUGAUGGGGUUAGCUAACGCGAAGCUCUUGAUCGAAGCCCCGGUAAACGGCGGCCGUAACAAUAACGGUCCUAAGGUAGCGAAAUUCCUUGUCGGGUAAGUUCCGACCUGCACGAAUGGCGUAACGAUGGCGGCGCUGUCUCCACCCGAGACUCAGUGAAAUUGAAAUCGCUGUGAAGAUGCAGUGUAUCCGCGGCUAGACGGAAAGACCCCGUGAACCUUUACUAUAGCUUUGCACUGGACUUUGAAUUUGCUUGUGUAGGAUAGGUGGGAGGCUUUGAAGCGAGGACGCCAGUUCUUGUGGAGCCAAUCUUGAAAUACCACCCUGGCAACUUUGAGGUUCUAACUCUGGUCCGUUAUCCGGAUCGAGGACAGUGUAUGGUGGGUAGUUUGACUGGGGCGGUCUCCUCCUAAAGAGUAACGGAGGAGUACGAAGGUGCGCUCAGACCGGUCGGAAAUCGGUCGUAGAGUAUAAAGGCAAAAGCGCGCUUGACUGCGAGACAGACACGUCGAGCAGGUACGAAAGUAGGUCUUAGUGAUCCGGUGGUUCUGUAUGGAAGGGCCAUCGCUCAACGGAUAAAAGGUACUCCGGGGAUAACAGGCUGAUACCGCCCAAGAGUUCAUAUCGACGGCGGUGUUUGGCACCUCGAUGUCGGCUCAUCACAUCCUGGGGCUGAAGCCGGUCCCAAGGGUAUGGCUGUUCGCCAUUUAAAGUGGUACGCGAGCUGGGUUUAGAACGUCGUGAGACAGUUCGGUCCCUAUCUGCCGUGGACGUUUGAGAUUUGAGAGGGGCUGCUCCUAGUACGAGAGGACCGGAGUGGACGAACCUCUGGUGUUCCGGUUGUCACGCCAGUGGCAUCGCCGGGUAGCUAUGUUCGGAAUAGAUAACCGCUGAAAGCAUCUAAGCGGGAAACUAGCCUCAAGAUGAGAUCUCACUGGGACCUUGAGUCCCCUGAAGGGCCGUCGAAGACUACGACGUUGAUAGGUGGGGUGUGUAAGCGUUGUGAGGCGUUGAGCUAACCCAUACUAAUUGCCCGUGAGGCUUGACC
rnacentral:rRNA from 1 species